GCCUUCGGGUUGUAAACCUCUUUCAGUAGGGAAGAAGCGAAAGUGACGGUACCUGCAGAAGAAGCACCGGCUAACUACGUGCCAGCAGCCGCGGUAAUACGUAGGGUGCGAGCGUUAUCCGGAAUUAUUGGGCGUAAAGAGCUCGUAGGCGGUUUGUCGCGUCUGUCGUGAAAGUCCGGGGCUUAACCCCGGAUCUGCGGUGGGUACGGGCAGACUAGAGUGCAGUAGGGGAGACUGGAAUUCCUGGUGUAGCGGUGGAAUGCGCAGAUAUCAGGAGGAACACCGAUGGCGAAGGCAGGUCUCUGGGCUGUAACUGACGCUGAGGAGCGAAAGCAUGGGGAGCGAACAGGAUUAGAUACCCUGGUAGUCCAUGCCGUAAACGUUGGGCACUAGGUGUGGGGACCAUUCCACGGUUUCCGCGCCGCAGCUAACGCAUUAAGUGCCCCGCCUGGGGAGUACGGCCGCAAGGCUAAAACUCAAAGGAAUUGACGGGGGCCCGCACAAGCGGCGGAGCAUGCGGAUUAAUUCGAUGCAACGCGAAGAACCUUACCAAGGCUUGACAUGUUCUCGAUCGCCGUAGAGAUACGGUUUCCCCUUUGGGGCGGGUUCACAGGUGGUGCAUGGUUGUCGUCAGCUCGUGUCGUGAGAUGUUGGGUUAAGUCCCGCAACGAGCGCAACCCUCGUUCCAUGUUGCCAGCACGUAAUGGUGGGGACUCAUGGGAGACUGCCGGGGUCAACUCGGAGGAAGGUGAGGACGACGUCAAAUCAUCAUGCCCCUUAUGUCUUGGGCUUCACGCAUGCUACAAUGGCCGGUACAAUGGGUUGCGAUACUGUGAGGUGGAGCUAAUCCCAAAAAGCCGGUCUCAGUUCGGAUUGGGGUCUGCAACUCGACCCCAUGAAGUCGGAGUCGCUAGUAAUCGCAGAUCAGCAACGCUGCGGUGAAUACGUUCCCGGGCCUUGUACACACCGCCCGUCAAGUCACGAAAGUCGGUAACACCCGAAGCCGGUGG
rnacentral:rRNA from 1 species